GAUCACACACUUCUCCCUUGAAAUCGAACGAAAUGUUGAUAUCCAAGUCACGUUCGUUGUUCUUGUUUGGUGCCAUCUCGAAUGAUCCGGUUAUUUCCUCGCCUUUCUUUACUGUGAGCGC
rnacentral:sRNA from 1 species